GGCAGGUCUAGUGGCAGUGGGGCUGGCUCGGCGGAUCCCUGUCAGUCACUUUGCUCUCGUACUAAGUGUACUUUUGUGCCAUUUAAGCAGCCGAUGGUGUCAUUGGCGUUGAGAGUGCAGCUUCUACAGCUCACACUGAAGGCUUUGGGGACCCAGGAGGGCGCGAGUUGUUUUAAGAUACAUGGCCAUUUGACAUACCCGUGUUAAGUUCAAUCUUGCUACAAAAGAAGGCCAUUUGUACUUCCUGACCCUGAAAGCAAGAACUGUGUCUCUUUAAAUCUACUGAGGAAGAUAUUCCUUCUGGCCCACAGGAUGCCAAAAUGACUCGAUGAUUUAUUUAUGCAGCGCUUGGCAGCCCAUCGUCCAGAUUGUGGCUGAAGCUGAAUUUUAUGAGCCUUCCCCCAAAAAACUGGAAGAUUUUGCCAUCUUACAAGCCCUCUUCCUUAAGAAAGAGAAAGAUGAGCAGUAAAUAUCCUCUGGCACGUCGGCACAUUCUGUCUCUUCGUGUUUUCAUGAAGUGUUCAUGACAUGGGAUUGAAGUACUCCUUUGUGUUCAGUAUUUGAUAUCAAAUCCUUUACAAAUCACUGGGAGAAUGGUAGAAGGAAUGAUGAGCUUUCCCUGAAGGUUCCAGCUUCUUCCUGCCACUAUUCUCUAGGGUGGGGUCACCUUCAUCUGGUUCCAGGAUGCAGCAUGCCCAGGUCUAAGAAGUCACCCCUUUUGUUACAGUCACUAGACUUUAUCAGGGUCUUGUCAAUCUCUCUGGCGAUUUGCAUGAUUCCCAGGUACUCAAGAACAGUUAGGAAGCAAUGUUCUUUAUGGGAAAAUAUUUUCAAAUUGUCAUAUGAAGACUCAACAAAAAGAAAAACAGAGAAGAAGGAGGAAAAGAAGAAGAAAGAAGAAUAAAAAGAAAGAGAUAAAGAAAUAAACAAACAAAAUAAAAAGGCAAGAAACAGAACGGAAAUGGAGAGGAGAGCCCAGCAUGACUUGCGCCGUGCCAAAGGAAUACGUGUGAGUUGGCUUCGUGUCAUCGUAACAAAACCCUGAGGCAGAAACGUCUACUCUUGAGCCUUCCAGUGGCCACUGGUACCUUUGGACCUUGAGCUGGAGCUGCAGCCUAGAGUUAUUAUUUAGCUUUGCCCUUUGUCUUUGAGAAAUAUCUUGAAAGAGCCAGGUUGGUCCAGACCUGCUGGCAAGCCUGCAGCCCCAUCCACCGAUUACCUAAUACACUUGUGACAUCUGCUUUCCUUGUUGUGAGAAAACACAGGGAGGAAGUGUGUGCAGAAGGGGUGAUGCCUGACCUACACACCCGGCAAUACCAGAAGUUUCACUACCUUCCGUUGGUAAACGCUUCAGGGAAGGCUCUGCAACCCUGAACGUGUUUUAUUGUAGAACCUCACUAGGAAACUCAUCAGUAUUUAUUAAAGAUGAAUUAAAAGAAGGAGGAAAAGGAAAAACGGGAUAGUGAAGAGAAUAGAUGAAUGAAAAAGAAGCAAAGGGAAGAGAGGAGGAAGGGACAAAGAGGGCAAGAAAAGAGAAAAGAGAGAUGAGAGACCAGGACUUCCCACCUAACCUUACCAAACUUUUUCAGUUGAGCUUUUAAUGGGAUACUAUUCCCAAGAGGAAAUUCAAAAAGAAAA
rnacentral:lncRNA from 1 species